rnacentral:tRNA from 1 species
GCUGGCAUAGCUCAGUUGGUAGAGCAGUUGAUUUGUAAUCAACCGGUCGGGGGUUCAAAUCCCUCUGCCAGCUCAA